rnacentral:rRNA from 1 species
UACGGAGGGGGCUAGCGUUGUUCGGAAUUACUGGGCGUAAAGGGCGCGUAGGCGGCCAUCUAAGUCGGACGUGAAAUCCCUCGGCUUAACCGAGGAACUGCGUCCGAUACUGGAAGGCUUGAAUCCGGGAGAGGGAUGUGGAAUUCCAGGUGUAGCGGUGAAAUGCGUAGAUAUCUGGAGGAACACCGGUGGCGAAGGCGGCAUCCUGGACCGGCAUUGACGCUGAGGCGCGAAAGCUAGGGGAGCAAACGGG